UACGUAGGUGGCAAGCGUUGUCCGGAUUUACUGGGCGUAAAGGGCGUGCAGGCGGUUUGUUAAGUUCAGGGUGAAAGCUCCCGGCUCAACUGGGAGAGGUCCUUGGAUACUGGCAGACUUGAGGAGGGUAGAGGAGAGUGGAAUUCCCGGUGUAGUGGUGAUAUGCGUAGAUAUCGGGAAGAACAUCGGUGGCGAAGGCGGUCUGCUGGGCCGUUGCUGACGCUGAGGCGCGACAGCGUGGGGAGCAAACAGG
rnacentral:rRNA from 1 species